rnacentral:misc_RNA from 1 species
AACUUUCAGCAACGGAUCACUCGGCUCUCGCAACGAUGACGAGCGCAGCGAAAUGCGAUAAGUAGUGUGAAUUGCAGAAUUCAGUGAAUCAUCGAAACCUUGAACGCAAAUUGCACCCGCAGGUCCUCCUGCGGGUACGCCUGUUCGAGUGCCGACCCAACAUCGACCUGCCUCGGGGCCCCGUGCCCCGCUAAAGAGGCUAGGUCGGCAUUGGGCGUCCGGAAGCGAAGCCGGUCGCCUGCAAAGGAGUGGGGAAGGCGGCGAGAGGCGGCCGCUCGUGGCGCUGGAGUCGAUCUGACGUGCUUCGGCGCGAUCGGACGUCCUGCCACCGGACACGGUCGACCCCUCCCUCCCUCCCCGUGAGGAAACGGGACUGCCCUCGUGCACCCGAACCCAAAACGUCGGCCUCGAAUCAGGCGAGACCACCCGCUGAACUUAAGCAUAUCAAUAAGCGGAGGCU